AGGGAAUCUUCGGCAAUGGACGGAAGUCUGACCGAGCAACGCCGCGUGAGUGAAGAAGGUUUUCGGAUCGUAAAGCUCUGUUGUAAGAGAAGAACGAGUGUGAGAGUGGAAAGUUCACACUGUGACGGUAUCUUACCAGAAAGGGACGGCUAACUACGUGCCAGCAGCCGCGGUAAUACGUAGGUCCCGAGCGUUGUCCGGAUUUAUUGGGCGUAAAGCGAGCGCAGGCGGUUAGAUAAGUCUGAAGUUAAAGGCUGUGGCUUAACCAUAGUACGCUUUGGAAACUGUUUAACUUGAGUGCAAGAGGGGAGAGUGGAAUUCCAUGUGUAGCGGUGAAAUGCGUAGAUAUAUGGAGGAACACCGGUGGCGAAAGCGGCUCUCUGGCUUGUAACUGACGCUGAGGCUCGAAAGCGUGGGGAGCAAACAGGAUUAGAUACCCUGGUAGUCCACGCCGUAGACGAUGAGUGCUAGGUGUUAGACCCUUUCCGGGGUUUAGUGCCGUAGCUAACGCAUUAAGCACUCCGCCUGGGGAGUACGACCGCAAGGUUG
rnacentral:rRNA from 1 species